GAAGUGCUGUCAUACCAGCUGGACAGAUACAUUCAGACCACCCAGAAGAUCUGUGGCACGUUGAAGGAAAGCUUCUUCAGUGACUUUAGCAUGAACAUGAACAAAGAAUCUGUGGUAGACCGCGAUGUGGAUUUGUCUGAAGAUGACAUAAAAAGGAUGCUUCAGCACAUUAAACAGCUUGAUGACAUCAGAACGAACCAAAACUUCCGCUUGGUGUUCUUGUUCCAGGGGGAAACUUGCAUCAUUGAUGAGUUCAGUGAACGUCGACCCAGGAUGCUGCAGUUUCUAACCAACCUGGAGGAGAAUGCU